CUUCGCCCCGAGGGUUAGGAUCUUUGGUACGGUAGAGUAACUUUCCCCCCCUCUCUCCUCUAUCUUGAGAUAGGUCUCACAUGGACUGAAUCACUUCUACUUUCUUUUCUUCGCUGGCAAAACGCCCAAACAAAACCCAUCAGUCAGUCUUCUGGUCACUACGCCCCCUGCCACUCUUUAGCAUCGUCUUUAUCUGCUGACUGCUCGGGCGGGUGGAUACAGUUGAUGAAAAUCCUAUUCCCGAGCACAAUCCACCACCACAGAAUGUUGUCCCUCGUCAUUCACAGACGAAGGUACCAGAGACCUGUCCUGUCCGAGUAAUGCCUACAC
rnacentral:lncRNA from 1 species